UGGGGAAUUUUACGCAAUGGGGGAAACCCUGACGUAGCGACACCGCGUGAGCGAAGAAGCCCUUUGGGGUGUAAAGCUCUGUCAGUUGGAACGAAAAAAAUGACGGUACCAACAGAGGAAGCAUCGGCUAACUACGUGCCAGCAGCCGCGGUAAGACGUAGGAUGCGAGCGUUGUCCGGAUUUAUUGGGCGUAAAGAGUUCGUAGGUGGUUUGUUAAGUCUGAUGUUAAAGAUUGGGGCUCAACCCUGAAACUGCAUUGGAUACUGGCAGACUUGAGUGUGGUAGAGGCUAGUGGAAUUCCCAGUGUAGCGGUGAAAUGCGUAGAUAUUGGGAAGAACACCGGUGGCGUAGGCGACUAGCUGGGCCAUAACUGACACUGAGGAACGAAAGCCAGGGUAGCGAAUG
rnacentral:rRNA from 1 species